GGGCUCUUCGGAGCUAGUGGCGGACGGGUGAGUAACACGUAGGAAUCUGCCUGCAGGAGUGGGAUAACCACUGGAAACGGUGGCUAAUACCGCAUAGGGCGCGAGCUGAAAGAUUUAUCGCCUGCAGAGGAGCCUGCGACGGAUUAGCUAGUUGGGGAGGUAAAGGCUUCCCAAGGCGACGAUCCGUAGCUGAUCUGAGAGGACGAUCAGCCACACUGGGACUGAGACACGGCCCAGACUCCUACGGGAGGCAGCAGUGGGGAAUUUUC
rnacentral:rRNA from 1 species